GGGAAUCCAUGCCACAUGCCGCUCUCCAGCCUGCUCUGGGUGUUCCUGGCCUUCAUCUUCUCUGGAUCUGGAGUGGCUCAGAAAGUUACUCAGGUCAAGCUAGAGACAUCCUGUCAGGUGGGGCAGGCAGUCACCCUGAACUGUCGGUAUGAGACAAGUUUGACUAUGUACUUUGUUUUUUGGUAUAAGCAGCUUCCCAGUGGAGAGAUGACUUUCCUUAUUCGCCAGGGUUCUUCUGGCCGAAGUGCAAAGAAUGCUGGCCACUACUCUGUAAAAUUCCAGCAAGAAGAUAAAUCCAUCAGCAUCACAAUUUCAGCCUUACAGCCAGAAGAUGCUGCAAAGUACUUCUGUAGCCUGUGUCCUGAGUCCCGUGGUUUCCCUCCAACACUGUGUGAGACUGACAAGAUCAUCUUCGGAAAAGGGACCCGCCUGAUUGUGGAAGCAAAAAGCCAGGGUAAUAAAUCACCAUCCGUUUUUGUCAUGAAAAAUGGGACAAACGUCGCUUGUCUGGUGAAGGAGUUCUACCCCAAAGAUAUAACUAUAAGUCUGCAAUCAUCUAAGAGAAUAAGAGAAUAUGACCCUGCUAUCGUCAUCUCUCCCGGUGGGAGGUACAGUGCAGUCAAGCUUGGUCAGUACGGAGAUCCUGAUUCAGUGACAUGUUCAGUUCAACACGACAAACGCACCAUUCUCUCCACUGACUUCGAACCGAAGAAAAAUAUUUCAGAAACUCCAAAACCAAAGGAACCUGAAAUUGUCGAGCAAGCUCAAAUUCCAGAGACCUGCUAUGAGCCCCGAGUUCAAAUUGGGAAGGUGAACAUGAUGUCCCUUGCAGUCCUGGGACUCCGAAUGCUGUUUGCCAAGAGUGUUGCCAUCAAUUUCCUCUUGACUGCCAAGUUAUUUUUCUUUUAAGGCUCACUGGCAUGAGAAGGCUACGAGUCCUGAAAGAAACCAAAAGCCUACAGAGAUGCUAUCUCCUAGGUUUUUCACUUCUUGGUGGUUCAAGUUGACCCGUCCCAGCCUUGCUUAAAUGGCUGCUACCCAAACCAGUUUUCCUUUAAAGGCAACACACCCAGCUUUUCCUUCAGCCUGAUAGAAAGACAGAAGUCCUGGGGAGUGGGGGCUUAUUGUCCCAACUGUCUUAUAUGCUGCUUUAUAAAGGGAUACAAAGGUAUGAAGGACUCAUUUUUUUUCCUGUAAUUGAUAUACUUUGAAAACAGUGUUUUGUUCCUUUGACUUUCUUCGCCUCCAGAAGUAGAAAGUGGGAGCCAGCGGGUUCCCAGCUCCAUUCCCCAAGAGGAAAAUAGAUCUUGGGGGGAGGAGAGCAGAUGUCCUUCUACCUAAACAUAAAAGGUUCUGCUCAACCCAGCACUAGAUUUGCCCCUAACUAGCACUCUCAUCCACAAAGGCACUUUCUGCUUUUCCUAGUACUUAACAAACAAAUCUGCAUUUGACUCCCUAAUACUCUCUGUGCAGGCAAUGGGGUUUCUAAAAUCUCAUCUAAAUACUCUCAGGGCUAUUAGCAGAGAUCACAGUCAAAUGCAGAGGAAAUAUGCUUCUCUCCAUUAAUUGAUUUAACAAGCGUGAGUUACUCCAAGUUCUAGGCACUGUGCUGAGGGUGCAAAAAUAAGUAGGACAUGGGUCUUGCUUUCAAGCAACUCAUUGUGCGAGUAUUUUUGGAGGGAGGGAUAGGAAUGAGACCCCGAGAUUUCCCCCCUAUACAAACAGUGUCUUCAUGACCCCUUGCCUGCCCAUCUGUGCACAGGGAGUUUGAGAGCACUGGACCUUUGGUGUUGCACUUAUUAAAUUCUUUGUCUCUGUUGCAUUUAUUAAAGUACAUUGCGUGC